rnacentral:rRNA from 1 species
UACGUAGGCAGCAAGCGUUGUUCGGAGUUACUGGGCGUAAAGAGUACGUAGCGGUGCCGCAAGUCCGGUGUGAAAUCUCCUGGCUCAACUGGGAGGGUGCGCUGGAAACUGCGGUGCUAGAGUGCGGGAGAGGAAAGCGGAAUUCCUGGUGUAGCGGUGAAAUGCGUAGAUAUCGGGAGGAACACCAGUGGCGAAGGCGACUACCUGGCCUGUUCUUGACGCUGAGGCGCGAAAGCUAGGGGAGCAAACGGG